CUGAAGACCAAUUUUACACAGAAGAGGUGAGAGUUAAGGUGCUGCAUAUAACCUCAAAUGGCCUUGGAUCAAACUACUAGAGGGAUGGUCUUCUUUCAUGUGAAGACACUCAUCAGUUAAUGCAGUAACCCUCUUGCGUGUACCAUGACCUUCUGAGGUCCACCUGAAAAGAGAAUGCCCGGAUAAGUGUACAUAACCUUUCAGCUUCAGAACUGCAGAGCCAGGCUGCUUGUUUUACUUGCCAUGUGAAAAGUGAACCAGCUCCAACUCUUUAGAAUUCCAGAUGCUCCGUCGCUACAGGCUGGAGAGGCUUCAAGACACACAGAGAAGGAAGAGCCUAUGGCUGCUUCCAGCUCUCCUAAAGUGGCCUUUCUAGAACUUGCAUAGAAGUGCAGAUUCUUUGAAGAAAGUUGGUAAGGAAGUCAUGGUCAAGAUGCACAAGCACGCACACGUUCACUACAUCAAUGGUGUAGUGGGAAGGAAUGCAGAGGAGUGUAGCUCUGAGAUGUUUUUAGAGCAGGAGUGAUGAUGUCAUCUGCUGGAGUGUCAGGUUAUGAACUCUCUUUGCUCUUGCAAGUGGAUGAGGUGCUCAAGUUUUAUUUUUAUUUGCCUAGAGAAAGUUGGAGAAUAAGGUCACUUCCAGACAACUUGUUUAUUGAGCAUUCAUCCUGCUUUGUUUACAUAAAGUUUGU